AUUGAACGCUGGCGGCAGGCCUAACACAUGCAAGUCGAACGGUAGCACAGAGGAGCUUGCUCCUUGGGUGACGAGUGGCGGACGGGUGAGUAAUGUCUGGGAAACUGCCCGAUGGAGGGGGAUAACUACUGGAAACGGUAGCUAAUACCGCAUAACGUCGCAAGACCAAAGAGGGGGACCUUCGGGCCUCUUGCCAUCGGAGGUGCCCAGAUGGGAUUAGCUAGGAGGUGGGGUAACGGCUCACCUAGGCGACGAUCCCUAGCUGGUCUGAGAGGAUGACCAGCCACACUGGAACUGAGACACGGUCCAGACUCCUACGGGAGGCAGCAGUGGGGAAUAUUGCACAAUGGGCGCAAGCCUGAUGCAGCCAUGCCGCGUGUAUGAAGAAGGCCUUCGGGUUGUAAAGUACUUUCAGCGAGGAGGAAGGUGUUGUGGUUAAUAACCACAGCAAUUGACGUUACUCGCAGAAGAAGCACCGGCUAACUCCGUGCCAGCAGCCGCCGUAA
rnacentral:rRNA from 1 species